rnacentral:misc_RNA from 1 species
AAAACAAAUCUCUCCCUUCGUCCCAAAUUACAAUAACAAAUUUUCAAAAUCUCAAAAGAAUUUUAAUUUUUGUUAUUAACCCAGUGAGCAUCGCCUCCAUUCUCGCUGCAUAAUCACAGCAUCUCUCUGGUCCUGAGAAUUGGAUCCGUUUGAGGAGUUUUUUUGUGCUACUCUUGAUGGGUGCGCCAAAACAGAAAUGGACAGCAGAAGAAGAGGCAGCUCUAAAAGCUGGAGUUAUUAAACAUGGGGCCGGCAAAUGGCGCACAAUACUUAAAGAUCCUGAAUUUAGUGGUGUUUUGUACCUGCGAUCGAAUGUGGAUCUCAAGGAUAAAUGGAGAAAUAUGAGUGUAAUGGCAAAUGGUUGGAGCUCCCGCGAGAAGUCUAAGUUAGCUGUUAAAAGGGUGCACCAUGUCCCAAAACUGGAAGAGAACCCUAUGGCCCUCAAUACUGUUGCUCAAAGUGAUGAAGAUAUUUCAGAUACUAAGCCUAUUGCGGUUACCAAUUCUGUAAUGCAGACUGCUGGUCCAAAGAGAACAACUGUGAGGCUGGAUAAUCUUAUAAUGGAGGCUAUAACUAGCUUGAAGGAGCCUGGUGGUUCUAAUAAGACAACAAUUGCUGCAUAUAUUGAGGAACAAUACUGGCCGCCUCAUGACUUCAAGAGGAUAUUGUCAGCAAAACUGAAAUAUUUGACAUCAAAUGGCAAGCUGAUUAAGGUUAAACGCAAGUAUAGAAUUGCACCUACUUCAACUUUUUUUGACAGGAGAAGGAAUUCUUCUAUGUUAUUCAUGGAGGGAAGACAAAGGAUAUCUCCAAGAGUUGAGAGGGAUGAUUUCAAUAUGCCCACAAAGUCUCAAAUUGAUUUGGAGCUGGCCAAGAUGAGAACCAUGACAGCACAAGAGGCUGCUGCAGCAGCUGCUCGAGCAGUUGCAGAGGCCGAAGCUGCUAUAGCAGAAGCUGAAGAGGCUGCAAGGGAGGCAGAGGCUGCAGAAGCUGAUGCAGAAGCAGCACAAGCAUUUGCAGAAGCUGCUAUGAAGACACUGAAAGGAAGGCAACCACCCAAGAUGAUGAUCCGAGCUUGAUGGGGAUAAUCAAAGAAGAGCAAUGAGAGUUUGAUCAACACCAAGAUAGAUAUUCAUCACAUGCUGACGUUGCCCGUCUGUAAAUAUGGAAAGGCUUAAGGCUUUUUUUUUCUGUAGGGUACACAAUAUGACAAUAUAUUUAGCUGUGGAUCCUGGUGGUUUGGUAGAUUGCAAUUGCAUAGGCAGCUCGUUCUUUUCGACAGGAGUUUCAAAUGGGAAUUUGUUAUUUUCUUCCCCUUUUCUGGAAAGUAAUGCUUUGUUGUCAGUGCUUGUUUCCAAGAUAGAUUUUAAAGAAAAGAGUAGCUAGAAUGUAAAAUAAAAAAAAUAAAAAAAAAAUAGGAGCAAUGAUUCUGACAGGCUUGUUUGUAGUCCGUUUAAUUUUUCAUUAGAUGGACAGUUCAGGGACUAUUGGUUUUGGAAUUUUUUUCAGGCACGCAAGCUUUAAUCAGGUUUAGAACAUAGCUAAUGUAUGCACAUGGAGAAGCAUGUGCUUGGAGUAUUUUUCUUUGCUGUAAUCACUAAUCAGAUGUAAGAUGUAGGACAGAAACCUUGUAAUCUUUUCAGGAAUCAUUGUUGAUGACUCUUAAAA